AGAGGCAUAGAGCAUGGGAAAA
rnacentral:miRNA from 1 species